UACGUAGGUGGCAAGCGUUGUCCGGAUUUACUGGGUGUAAAGGGCGUGUAGGCGGGAAUGUAAGUCAGAUGUGAAACUCCGGGGCUCAACUCCGGAACUGCAUCUGAAACUAUGUUUCUUGAGUGCUGGAGAGGAAAGCGGAAUUCCUAGUGUAGCGGUGAAAUGCGUAGAUAUUAGGAGGAACACCAGUGGCGAAGGCGGCUUUCUGGACAGUAACUGACGCUGAGGCGCGAAAGCGUGGGGAGCAAACAGG
rnacentral:rRNA from 1 species